ensembl:lncRNA
GGCACACGCCUCGCACACGUGUCACCUUUGCACACGCACCGUGCCUCACACAUGCAUCUCUGAGGCCUUGCACACGCAGCUCAGCCACCUCACACGCGUGUUCCACGCCUUGCACGCGCUGCUGAUGCACCUCGGAGGCCUCACACACCUUGCACACCUUUUUGCACUGACAGACCACAGCACACGCUCACACACGCCUUGCACGACUACUGUGCACUCACAGACCGCAGCACAUGCCUUGUACAUGUAUCUCUGAGGCCUUGCACACGCAGCUCAGCCACCUCACACCUGUGCCACGCCUUGCACAUGCCUCGCACAUGCCUCGCACACGCUCCUCAUGCACCUCGGAAGCCUUGCACAUGGCUUGCACACCUGUUUUGCAGUCAUGGGCCACAGUACAUGCCUUGCACACAUCUUGCACAUGCCUUUGCGCACACACAGAUCACAGCUCACACUCACACAUGCCUUGCACGACUGCUGUGCACUCACAGACCACAGCACACGCCUUGUACAUGCAUCUCUGAGGUGUUGCACACACAGCUCAGCCACCUCACACUUGUAUCACGCCUUGCACGUCUCACACAUGCACCUCGGAGGCCUCGCACAUAUGUUGCACGCCUUUUUGCACUCACAGACCACAGCAUCUGCUCACACGUCUUGCACCCCUGUUGAGCACUCACCACAGCACACGCCAUGUACAUGCCUUGCUUGCCUCUUCCACACACCUUGCACAUGCCUUUGUGUACACACAGACCACAGCACAUGCCUUGCACACACCUCACAUGUGUCUUGCACACCUGUUUUGCAGUCGCAGACCACAGCACAUGCCUUGCACACACCUCGCACAUGUCUUGCAUGCCUGUUGUGCACCGAGACCACAGCACAUGCCUUGCACACUCAUCUCUGAGGCCUUGCACAUGCAAGCUCAGCCACCUUGCACACAUCACACGCAUUGCAGUCGUGCACUCACAGAGCACAAGGCAUGCCUUGCACACACAUCAUGUGCUUCUUUUUAAGGCCCAUGGUCCACAAUUUGCAUAUGCAUUCCACCCGCCUUGCACACCUGUGGUGCUCUCCCGGCACAUGCAUUGCCUGGCCACCACACACACCUUGCACACCUGUUGGGCUCUCACAGAUCAUUGCACACUCCUCACGCCUUGCAUAUGCCUUGCACGACUUUUGUGGACUCAUAGACCACUGCACAUGCCUUGCACACACCUUUGUGCACACACAGAUCACAGCACACCCCUUGCACACAUCUUGCACGACUGUUGUGCACACACAGAUCACAGCACACUCCUUGCACAUGCCUUAUACGUGCCUUGCAUGGCUGUUGUGCACACACAGACCACCACACAUGGCUUUCACACACAGAUCACAGCACAUGCCUUGCACUUAUGUCACACAUGCACGCCUGUUGUGCACUCACAUACCACAGCACGCCCUUCAGACACGCCUUGCAUAUGCCUUGCACAAUUGUUGUGCACUCACAGACCACAGCACACUCCUUGCACAUACCUUGUACGACUGUUGUGCACUCACAAGCCACAGCACAUGCCUCGCACACGUCUUGUACAAGCGUUUCUGAGGCCUUGCACAUGCAGCUCAGCCACCUCACGUUUCACCCCUUGCACAUCCUCACACACUUCUCAUGCACCUCAGAGGUCUUGCACACUCCUUGCAUGUGUGUCAUGUGCUGUGCACGUGUCACACAAAGCAGUUUUGCACAGACAUGUUGCACACCUGUGGGUCAUGCAUGGUACACGUGCAUUCACAGAGCACAGCACAUGCCUUGCACGUGCAUCACACUUGCAUUGUGCAUCUCUUUUGCAUGCCCAUUGUCCGCGACUCGUACACGUGUCCCACCCGCCUUACACGACUGUUGUGCACUCACAGAAAACAGCACAAGCCUCACACAUGCCUACACAUGCCUUGCACAACUGUUGUGCAAUCACAGACCACAGCACACCCUCCAUACGUGCCUCACCCACGCCUUGCACACACCUUGCACAACUGUUGUGCAAUCACAGACCACAGCACACCCUCCAUACGUGCCU